rnacentral:rRNA from 1 species
CCUACGGGAGGCAGCAGUGAGGAAUAUUGGUCAAUGGUCGGGAGACUGAACCAGCCAAGCCGCGUGCGGGAGGAAGGUACAGAGUAUCGUAAACCUCUUUUGUCAGGGAACAAAGACUGGGACGCGUCCCCGGAUGAGUGUACCUGAAGAAAAAGCAUCGGCUAACUCCGUGCCAGCAGCCGCGGUAAUACGGAGGAUGCGAGCGUUAUCCGGAUGUAGUGGGUUUAAAGGGUGCGCAGGCGGUCUGUUAAGUCAGCGGUAAAAGCCCGGGGCUCAACCCCGGCCCGCCGUUGAAACUGGCAGUCGCGAGUUGGAGAGAAGUAUGCGGAAUGAGCGGUGUAGCGGUGAAAUGCAUAGAUAUCGCGCAGAACUCCGAUUGCGAAGGCAGCAUGCCGGCUCCACACUGACGCUGAGGCACGAAAGCGUGGGUAUCGAACAGGAUUAGAUACCCGAGUAGUC